AUUGAACGCUGGCGGCAUGCUUUACACAUGCAAGUCGAACGGUAACAGGCCUUCGGGCGCUGACGAGUGGCGAACGGGUGAGUAAUGCAUCGGAACGUGCCCAGAGGUGGGGAUAACGCAGCGAAAGCUGUGCUAAUACCGCAUAUUAUCUGAGGAUGAAAGCGGGGGACUAAGCAGCAAUGUUUGGCCUCGCGCCUUUGGAGCGGCCGAUGUCAGAUUAGGUAGUUGGUGGGGUAAAGGCCUACCAAGCCGACGAUCUGUAGCUGGUCUGAGAGGACGACCAGCCACACUGGGACUGAGACACGGCCCAGACUCCUACGGGAGGCAGCAGUGGGGAAUAUUGGGCAAUGGUCGCAAGACUGACCCAGCCAUGCCGCGUGCAGGAAGAAGGUCCUCUGGAUUGUAAACUGCUUUUAUCGGGGAAGAAUAGUUUUCUUGCGAGGGAAUGUGACGGUACCCGAUGAAUAAGCCACGGCUAACUACGUG
rnacentral:rRNA from 1 species